rnacentral:rRNA from 1 species
CCUUUGGGUGGGGAAUAACUCAGGGAAACUUGAGCUAAUACCGCAUAAUGCAGCGGCUCGACAUCGAGACAGUUGUUAAAGCGGGGGAUCGCAAGACCUCGCGCCUGAAGAGAAGCCUGCGGCAGAUUAGCUAGUUGGUAAGGUAAUGGCUUACCAAGGCGACGAUCUGUAACCGGCCUGAGAGGGCGGUCGGUCACACUGACACUGACAUACGGGUCAG